rnacentral:rRNA from 1 species
GCGCAGCAGUCGAGAAUCUUCCACAAUGGGGGAAACCCGUGAUGGAGCGACGCCGCGUGCGGGAUGAAGGCCCUAUGGGUUGUAAACCGCUGUUCAGUGGAAAGAACAUCCUCCGGCUGAAUAGGUCGGGGGCCUGACGUUACCACUGCAGAAAGUCUCGGCCAACUCCGUGCCAGCAGCCGCGGUAAGUACGGGGGGACGGAGCGUUG